UACGUAGGGUGCGAGCGUUGUCCGGAAUUAUUGGGCGUAAAGAGCUUGUAGGUGGCUCGUCGCGUCGGGAGUGAAAACCCGCGGCUUAACCGCGGGCCUGCUUUCGAUACGGGCAGACUUGAGUUCGGCAGGGGAGACUGGAAUUCCUGGUGUAGCGGUGAAAUGCGCAGAUAUCAGGAGGAACACCGGUGGCGAAGGCGGGUCUCUGGGCCGACACUGACGCUGAGGAGCGAAAGCGUGGGGAGCGAACAGG
rnacentral:rRNA from 1 species